rnacentral:miRNA from 6 species
AGAGUUGAGUCUGGACGUCCCG